AAAAAUAAAGUUGAUGCUGGUGUGGUAUUAGCUAGGCUUCUCUAGAGGGACAGAACACGUGUACUCUCAUAUAGAGAGAGAGAUUCUAACUCUAAAGAGAGAGAGAACUGAGACAGUCCAGGGGAGAAGAACCUUGGAAGACACGCCCCUUCUUCUCUCUCUCUCUUCCGGUUUUCAAAACCAGCAACCAACCCCACUUGUAUCAUGAAUUCACUGAACCCAACCCCUGAUCUCCCUCUGUCUCUCACUCUCUCUGUAAUAUCUGUAGUAAUAAUAAUUGUGAUCAUCGAAAUACAGUGCAACGGCCCACAAAUGUAUCCAAAGGAAAGGAUGUACCAAUUCCAUUCCACCCUUCCCAUUCGUUCAUAUAACAUUCAUUCCACCUUUAGAAAUUAAUGUAGCAGAAAACCCACUUCUCAAUUUUUGUGCUUGAAAUUGUCUCGAUAAGUUUUCUAUGCUGUAGGCUACUGACCAGAAAAGAAAGGAUCUGUAAAGGGCUCCGUCUGUCGUGUUUCUUCAUUCGGAAAUUUUCUUAUCACCACAACGGAAGGCUUCGGUAGCUUUUUCAACGUCACUGUUGUUCAACCUUGGAGUCUGGUUGGAGGACGUCGUCUCAGGAUUUGCGCAUUGAACUGAAGUUGCGAUUCUUUGUGGACAGAUAGAGACAAGUGGUUCUGAUUAGAGGUUGAAGAUGGUCGCGACUGUUGGUUCUUAGAAGGGAUACCCAAAAUCAAUUUUUCUUGCAAGACUAAAGUUUUGAAUCCGCUCUGCAUUUGUAGCUAUUGAAGACGCAAGUGUUGAACCUGGGAUCUAAGCAGCAUUAGUUUCUAAGAAGAACCGCUACACUGGGUUGUUAAAGCAGAAGCCGGAAGGAUUGCUACCUUAAGAGGAUUCUCUGAAUUUUAAAUUUGAUUGCUUAUUGCAACUGCUAGAAUUCCCUUUUACACAUUUCAACCAGCAAUUUAACUACGGCCACAAUUGUUUCGAGUUACGAAAAAGCUGGAAGUUUGGACAUUUCUUUGGCAGAUAUAUGUCUCUUUGAAUUCAGACAUUGUGUGAUUUGCAUCAGUUCAAUCUGAUCUGGGGUGCUGUGAAUUGGGUUGGUGGCUAGGAGAAUUUUUAAUGAGAUUUGAACUUCCUGAA